rnacentral:rRNA from 1 species
CCUACGGGAGGCUGCAGUGGGGAAUAUUGGACAAUGGGCGAAAGCCUGAUCCAGCCAUGCCGCGUGUGUGAAGAAGGCCUUCGGGUUGUAAAGCACUUUCAGUGGGGAAGAAAGCCUUGGGGCUAAUACCCUCGAGGAAGGACAUCACCCACAGAAGAAGCACCGGCUAACUCCGUGCCAGCAGCCGCGGUAAUACGGAGGGUGCGAGCGUUAAUCGGAAUUACUGGGCGUAAAGCGCGCGUAGGCGGUCUGAUAAGCCGGUUGUGAAAGCCCCGGGCGCAACCUGGGAACGGCAUCCGGAACUGUCAGGCUAGAGUGCAGGAGAGGAAGGUAGAAUUCCCGGUGUAGCGGUGAAAUGCGUAGAGAUCGGGAGGAAUACCAGUGGCGAAGGCGGCCUUCUGGACUGACACUGACGCUGAGGUGCGAAAGCGUGGGUAGCAAACAGGAUUAGAUACCCUAGUAGUC